rnacentral:rRNA from 1 species
UACGUAGGGUGCAAGCGUUGUCCGGAAUUAUUGGGCGUAAAGAGCUUGUAGGCGGUUUGUCGCGUCUGCUGUGAAAAUCCGGGGCUCAACCCCGGGCCUGCAGUGGGUACGGGCAGACUAGAGUGUGGUAGGGGGAGACUGGAAUUCCUGGUGUAGCGGUGAAAUGCGCAGAUAUCAGGAGGAACACCGGUGGCGAAGGCGGGUCUCUGGGCCAUAACUGACGCUGAGGAGCGAAAGCGUGGGGGAGCGAACAGG